rnacentral:lncRNA from 1 species
GAAAGAGCACUAAGGAUCUGCAAGCAGGAGGACAGCAGGUGGAUGAUAAAGCCAAGCAAAACAACGGUCAUCCCUCAGAAAGUACUCUGUCCUUGGCCGCUGUCCUACCAGAGAUGGGUAGAGAUGUUGGAGAUGUCUCAGCUCCAAACCAGGCAUUACCUGAAAAUAAUGCUGAAGGAAAUUUGCCGCCAGGGUCUAGGACAGAAGGCCCUUUGGUAAACUUAGUAGAAACUAAAGGAGAUGGGCAGGGUGAUGGGAUGGCAAGCCUCCAGCCAGGCCUGAGUAGUGGUGCCAUUUCCUUCUCUGCUGCUAACAUAGGUGCCAAUAUAACAUUUGUCAGCAGCAGCUCUGGUGCUGCUCUAAGAGAGCAGCUCAAUGGGUCCACCUCUGAAGAGCAGGACAACAAAUGCAGCUUGGAGAGCUGCAGGCCAGCUCAGGACAUCCAGCUGAGCCAGAAUGGAGGCAAUCCCAGCACUCCAUCCACUCCCUGUGAUGGUGCACAUCAGGCUGAGUUGAAAGAGAUGGCAAAGGAAAAUGAAGACCCUGGUACAGACUCACUGUUGGACACUUCCCAAGAGAAAUCCUUUUCGGAGGAGCCAGCCACCGACUCUUCUUGUUCGGCAACGCUGCCUCCAGGGGAAACGCACACUGACAGGGAAAAGCAGAGGACAUCUGGGAAACGGAGAAAGAAGAAGAGGCACAGCAAAAGCUACUCAGAGAUUGAGACUGAUUCUGGAGAUUAUAAAACAAAAAAAGGUUGUGUGGUACAAUGAGGCAUCACAGCAAGGCAGAAGAAAUAACGGAGGCCCGGAGACAUGCUAACUCAUCCCCAGAGCACUGCCAGCCUCUCGGAAGCCAGGCUCUGCAUCACCAGAAGGCCUCCUGCCCUGACUGGACAUCGCACUCCUCCUGAUGCAGCCUUCCACCCUUUGCCCAAAGGCCCAAUGAGCCGCCAUGGAGGCUUCAGCACCCUCAGCCCGUGCCUUACGUGACCUGCGUUGUGCCCCGGGGGCGUCUGCGAGGUCAUGGUCCAGAUUGAUGCAGCAGCAGGGAAGGCACAGGCCUCUCAGCCUCCAUCCUAAUGCCCAACAUCCCUACCUGCUCUUAAGCCAAACUUCUCUUAACACAAUGGCAGAAUGCAGCCCAGCAUUCAACCCUCGGGAAAUUUUAAAAGUAGCAGUGCCUCAAGUAAAUUGAGGGUAUGAAUCCAGCAGUGGCCAUACCCUCACAGGGGGAAGCGUUAUCCCUCAUUUUAUUGCCCACAUUCAGUUUAUAUUCGGCGAGGACCAAGAUCCAAAAUGCAUUUGCGUUCUCAACCAUUUAAAGCAAGCAAAAUCAAUUACAAAAACAACAACAAAAGUAUGCAUUUUGGUCAACAUAUGGCUGUGUAAACAGCAUCUGGCUCCCACAUAACACUUAUGUGCAAUUAAGUUGAAGCAUGGCUGUGGUCCUGCAGUAAUCUCACAUGCACAGCUACAUACAUAAAAUUUGGAGAAGUAGGGCCCCAGUUCCUGUCAAAAGAAAAAAGUUUUCCAGGGUACUGUGUUAAACACAUUUUCAGCUCCUCCUUUAGUAAGUCUCCAGGUUUAAAUCCCAUUCUCAGCUGCCUGCACUCUUAAGUCUUUGCAUUCAAGCUGCAGAACAUGUAUUUUCUCAUUACUUUUGCUUUGAAACUGGGAAUGUGCAGUAUUGUGUUUUUAAAGAGUCAGAGCUUUAUGUCUCAAGUUUUGUAAUAACGUUGUACCAUAGUUUUGUACAUAGCUGUCAAUUUAAAAUGACCUAUGCUUGUUGAAUCUAUGGUGUGAUACUGUGCUGAAACAGGAAUCAAGCAGAAGAGAUUGUUAAAUUUAAGAACUAUGCCUUUAUAUGGUAACUAGACUAAAUGUUCAGGAUAAACGUUAUUUUGCUUUGCUCAAUAGGAAUAGCAACAUCCUUGCAACAUCGAAGACUUUACUGGACCAAG